GGGAGAUUUUGGUGCUAGAAUUUCAUUAUUCAGAUUUGAGUAGGAAGAUGGCUGACACUUGAGCAAAUUUUAGGGUUGAUCUUCUUUUUAGUGAAUUUAAUCUUGAAAAUUUUUGUACUUAUUGUCAACUUAAUUAUUAAAAGGUUUAAACUUUCUAUAAAAAUUACUUGGAAUUGAUUAGCAUUUGAUUUAGAAUCAAGAUUAGGAUUUUAGAUUUGAUUUAGGAUUUAUUUAGGAUUUGGUUAGGAUUUGUUUAAAAUUUGUUUAGAAUUUAACUAAGAUUUAUCUAGGAUUUGUUUAGGAUUUUUUAAGAUUUGAUUAGAAUUUGACUAAGAUUUGUCUAGGAUUUAUUUAAGAUUUGAUUAGGAUUUGACUAAGAUUUGUUUAAGAUUUAUUUAAAAUUUGAUUAGGAUUUGAUUAGGAUUUAACUAAGAUUUGUCUAGAGUUUGAUUAAGACUUAUUUAGAAUUUGGUUAGGAUUUUUUUAGGAUUUGAUUAGGAUUUUUCUAGAAUUCGAUUAGAAUUUAUUUAAGAUUUGAUUAGGAUUUGGUUAAGGUUUGUUUAGGAUUUGAUUAUAGAAUGAUUAGAAUUUGACUAGUAUUUGACUAAGAUUUGUUUAAGGUUUGAUUAAGGCUUAUUGAAGAAUUGAUUAGGAUUUUACAAGGAUUUGACCAAAGUUUGAUUAAGAUUUGAUUAAGAUUUG
rnacentral:lncRNA from 1 species